CCUCAGCAAGUACCGUAAACAGAAGUAUUUACCCCCUGGAAAUACCCAAAAAAGGCGAUGUCAUCAGGGGGUGACUGCUUCUGUUUACGGUACU